AGAGUUUGAUCCUGGCUCAGGACGAACGCUUGCGGCGUGCCUAAGAAAUGCAAGUCGAGCGAGGUUAGUAGCUUGCUACGAAGCCUAGCGGCGAACGGUCGAGUAACACGUAGGCAACCUGCCCUGAAGCGGGGGAUAGCCCACCGAAAGGUGGAUUAAUACCGCAUGUGGUCAUGACUUGGCAUCUUGUUAUGACUAAAGCAGCGAUGCGCUUCAGGAUGGGCUUGCGGCCUAUCAGCUAGUUGGUGAGGUAACGGCCCACCAAGGCGACGACGGGUAGCUGGUCUGAGAGGAUGGUCAGCCGGACUGGGACUGAGACACGGCCCAGACUCCUACGGGGGGCAGCAAUUAGGAAUCUUGCGCAAUGGGGGAAACCCUGACGCAGCGACGCCGCGUGAAGGAUGAAGGCCUUCGGGUCGUAAACUUCUUUUAUCGGGGAAGAAGUAAGUGACGGUACCCGGUGAAUAAGCCCCGGCUAACUACGUGCCAGCAGCCGCGGUAAUACGUAGGGGGCGAGCGUUGUCCGAAGUUACUGGGCGUAAAGCGCGCGUAGGCGGGCUAUUAAGUUGGAUGUGAAAUCUUCGGGCUCAACCCGGAAACCGCAUCCAAAACUGUUAGCCUUGAGGUAUGGAGAGGGAAGUGGAAUUCCUGGUGUAGCGGUGAAAUGCGUAGAUAUCAGGAGGAACACCCGUGGCGAAGGCGGCUUCCUGGUCAUAUCCUGACGCUGAGGCGCGAAAGCUAGGGGAGCGAACGGGAUAGAUACCCCGGUAGUCCUAGCCGUAAACGAUGGAUACUAGGUGUUAGUGGUAUCGACCCCACUAGUGCCGUAGCUAACGCAAUAAGUAUCCCGCCUGGGGAGUACGGCCGCAAGGUUGAAACUCAAAUGAAUUGACGG
rnacentral:rRNA from 1 species